AAAGAAGAUAGCCAAGUGGCAAAUGAGCAUGCACAAACCCAGGCUACACAUGGGAGCCUCUUAAAUGGUCGCAACACACAGCUUUAGAACGGCCAACGUCCAGAACGUAACAACAGCUCAUGCAGCACGGCUUUCUCCUGACCUCACCAGGAAGAAGAAGCAGGAAGACUGUCAGAGCCAGAUGCAAUGCGUGGCUGCUACAAAGCAAUGUUUCCUGGGCAAUGCAUGCAUGAACUCACAACAGCUGUCACAACAUGAGCGAGGCCCGCACAGCACCAAGCUAGCCAAAAUUAGUAAGAGCUGAGGAGGAGAAGCACCGAGGAGGAGAAGCCCAUCAAGUCCUGCCUCUACCUAAAGAGCUAUUGGCAACUGUCAGUGACUGGGCAAGGAAUUGAUGUGCACUGAAAAUCUACAUAUUUUGGAAAGAUAAUUUAUUUGAUCCAGGAAGGAAAGAAAAAUCAAGGGAAGAGAGAUUUCACGAGUUUACACUUCAUUAUUCUUAGGCCUUAGGAAGAACUCUCAUAUAACAAAAAUGUGGUCUAGAGCUAUAUCAUACAGGCUCAUAAAAGUACAUUGCUCAUCAUUCCAAUGUUGAAAACUUACGAAGUGCAUGCAAUGUUGUAAGGAAAAGCUUUGAGAACUCUUAAGGAGCAGGGAAUUCUGUAGAGAACACUGACCACCACCUGCAAGUUGAUACAUCUGAAUUUAUUUGACCCCGAUGACUCCAAUAAAAGGGGGACACUCUUCUAAUUCACAAAACAGGGAGGCUUCUCAGGCGAGUGAUUAAAUUACCUCCUUAACACUUAACUCUGGUUAGAAUGUGGAACGGGGAAGCUUGAACCAAAUGAUUGCCUAAUUCCUCAGCAAAGUAAUGUGAGCGUCUACAGCGUUGCCCUCCUUCCUUCCCCAAACCUUUGUUUUCCCUGUUUUUCCUACAGAAGACCUUCCUCUGAAUAUGUCUUAAUUCAUAAUUUAACUACUCUUUUCUUAACGUCACUGUUCUUUGUCUUUGACAACGGGAAGAAUGCAAGUUCACAAUUUGUUGGAAAAUUGGUGUUCUAAUAAAUCUACCCAGAAAAUCAUCCCUGGGCCCUGGUAAAUGUCUAGCGACACAAGCGUCCAUCAAUCAAGAUUCCUUUGUUAAAUGUCUGAGACAGAACAAAGCUUCCAGAGGCCUCCCUCCAACUGCAGGAACCCCAGCAGAAGUCACGUAAAUGUUUGAAGUAUUUUGUUUGCUGAUUCUCAAGCCCAGAAAAAGGAAACUUUUAAACAACAGAAAAGAGAAAUCAUUCAGGGGGACCUUUCAGGCUUUGGUCUUUUAAGGUCCAUCCAGUAGAUUGCAGGGAGUCUCGGCACUGCAGGGG
rnacentral:lncRNA from 1 species